rnacentral:rRNA from 1 species
AAAUUGAAGAGUUUGAUCAUGGCUCAGAUUGAACGCUGGCGGCAGGCCUAACACAUGCAAGUCGAACGGUAACAGGAAGCAGCUUGCUGUUUCGCUGACGAGUGGCGGACGGGUGAGUAAUGUCUGGGAAACUGCCUGAUGGAGGGGGAUAACUACUGGAAACGGUAGCUAAUACCGCAUAACGUCGCAAGACCAAAGAGGGGGACCUUCGGGCCUCUUGCCAUCGGAUGUGCCCAGAUGGGAUUAGCUAGUAGGUGGGGUAACGGCUCACCUAGGCGACGAUCCCUAGCUGGUCUGAGAGGAUGACCAGCCACACUGGAACUGAGACACGGUC